rnacentral:rRNA from 1 species
GAUCCUGGCUCAGGAUGAACGCUAGCGAUAGGCUUAACACAUGCAAGUCGAGGGGUAACGUGUUGGAAGCUUGCUUCCGAUGACGACGACCGGCGGAUGGGUGCGUAACGCGUAUGCAACUUGCCUCACAGUGGAGAAUAACCCGGAGAAAUCCGGACUAAUACUCCAUACACUCUUAAGUACACCAGUGUUUGAGAGGAAAGAUUUAUCGCUGUGAGAUAGGCAUGCGUCCUA